AUGAACAAAAUGAAUAAUAGUAGUAGUAGCAAUAAUAAUAAUGAUCUGUUCAAUUUAUUUUUGGGUAAUAAUAAUAGUAAUAACAAUAACAACAAAAAUAAUGAUAGUAAUAACAACAACAACAACAAUAAUGAUAGUAAUAAUAGGGAGAGGGAGCAGCCUAAUAGUCCCAAUGAACCCAGCUGUUGCAGUAACAAAGCUGAUGUCACAAAAAUGGAGUCAGAAAAAAACAAAGCGCUUGAUGCAAAUGAUAUAUAUAUAAUUAUAACAAAAAUCAAAAAAUCAAUUGAGUUAUUGAUCGAAUUUUUUAAAGAUAUACAAAACUGUUUUACCUGUAGUGCUAGUAGUGGGAAUUGUAUCACUACCAACGCAAACUACGAAUGUUCAAGCGACUUUAUCGAAUUUAAAAAAUUAUUUAAUGAAGAAAUAAACGCUUUGAUAUGUUUAUUUUGUAGUUAUUUAAUUUAUGAUAAUGUUUAUUAUAUUGAUGAAUUUGUGAAAUUAUUAGAACUGUUUUUUGUAUGUGUGAAAAAACAAAAUUUCAAAUUUUUAAUAUUAAUUAUAAAGGGAGUUGAAAUUAAUCGUUAUUAUAAUAAUAAAAUUAUUAUAUCCAAAUUGUUUUUACAUAUUUUUGAUAGAAGCAUGAAAAAUGUUAUACAUGUAAACAUUUUAUUAAAUUUGUUUACUAAGUGUAUAUAUAAUGUGGUGGAACAUAUACAAAUGGGUGAUAUUUGUAGUAGCAGUAGUAAUAAUAAUAAAAGUAACAUAAAUAAUAAGCCUUAUAACGAAUAUUAUACUAGCAAUAUAAACUUGAUCAAAAAAAUUAUGAACAAUACAUACGACUUUGUUUCGAUAGUACAUAUACCAAUAGAUAAAGUACAUUCUUUAGAUUUUGUUUAUAUAAUAUGUGAAGAUGAAUAUAUGAAUAAAACAAAAGUAGAUCCAUUUUAUCAAAAAAAUAUAAAAAAUGUAAUUUUGUUUGGUAUACACUUUUUUUUUAAUUAUUAUUUUGAAAUGUUAUAUGACAAAAAUAAAAAAAUUGCAAAUACUUCUGUAGACGUUUUUAAAGACAAUUAUUAUAAUGUGUGUAAUAAACAAAUUCAAAAAAAUGAAAAAACAUUUUUUUUAGGUCUUAAAAUUUUAUUAUGUAUUUCAUCCUUAUUGUUUUUAAGGUUUGACUCUUUUGUUAUUACGUCUAUUCUCAAAAAGGAAGAAAUUUUAUUUAUGCAGGUAUGUGUUGCAUGCUUAAUUAUAACAGCAAUUUGUAACAAAUUAUGCAAAUACUACACAUAG
rnacentral:lncRNA from 1 species